rnacentral:rRNA from 1 species
GAUGAACGCUGGCGGCGUGCCUAAUACAUGCAAGUCGAGCGAACGGACGAGAAGCUUGCUUCUCUGAUGUUAGCGGCGGACGGGUGAGUAACACGUGGAUAACCUACCUAUAAGACUGGGAUAACUUCGGGAAACCGGAGCUAAUACCGGAUAAUAUUUUGAACCGCAUGGUUCAAAAGUGAAAGACGGUCUUGCUGUCACUUAUAGAUGGAUCCGCGCUGCAUUAGCUAGCUGGUAAGGUAACGGCUUACCAAGGCAACGAUGCAUAGCCGACCUGAGAGGGUGAUCGGCCACACUGGAACUGAGACACGGUCCAGACUCCUACGGGAGGCAGCAGUAGGGAAUCUUCCGCAAUGGGCGAAAGCCUGACGGAGCAACGCCGCGUGAGUGAUGAAGGUCUUCGGAUCGUAAAACUCUGUUAUUAGGGAAGAACAUAUGUGUAAGUAACUGUGCACAUCUUGACGGUACCUAAUCAGAAAGCCACGGCUAGCUACGUG